rnacentral:rRNA from 1 species
ACGAGUUUGAUCAUGCUACAGAACGAACGCUGGCGGCAUGCCUAACACAUGCAAGUCGAACGAAGCCUUCGGGCUUAGUGGCGCACGGGUGCGUAACGCGUGGGAACCUACCAUCAGGUUCGGAAUAACAGUUAGAAAUGACUGCUAAUACCGGAUAAUGUCUUCGGACCAAAGAUUUAUCGCCUUUUGAUGGGCCCGCGUAAGAUUAGGUAGUUGGUGGGGUAAAAGCCUACCAAGCCGACGAUCUUUAGCUGGUCUGAGAGGAUGAUCAGCCACACUGGGACUGAGACACGGCCCAGACUCCUACGGGAGGCAGCAGUGGGGAAUAUUGGACAAUGGGCGAAAGCCUGAUCCAGCAAUGCCGCGUGAGUGAUGAAGGCCUUAGGGUUGUAAAGCUCUUUUACUGGGGAUGAUAAUGACAGUACCCAGAGAAUAAGCUCCGGCUAACUCCGUG